UACUGCCACAAAAUGGAGGCAAGGAACAUGGAAGACCAUGUAAACCACUGGAACUAGAAAAUGGCAGGGUUGAUUUAACUGAUCUCCGGUUUGGUGCAACAGCAACCUUCUCCUGUAAUGAAGGGUACAGAUUAAUUGGAACGACUUCUGCCCAAUGUGUGGUUGCGGGAAAUGGAGUUGAUUGGGAUAAGGAGCUUCCACUUUGCCAAGCAAUACCUUGUACUUCCACUCCUGAU